AUAGCGAUGGCGGAAGUUAAUUCGAUUGGGUCGAAGUUGAUAAUAUGUCUCUAGUUGUGAUUUGAGACGGAUUCAAGUUGUAUGAGUUUUUGUCUUGAGGUGGUUGUGUCGGCGGCCGACGACAUGAUACCAAGAGUCUAGAACGAGUGCACUUGUGUGCUUCCCGCCUGAUUUUGUGGUUAAGUCGUCAUGUGUCGUAAUUGCGUCGAGAUAAUUGGUUAAGAUGACUGAUCAAGUAUUUUCGUUUCA
rnacentral:lncRNA from 1 species